rnacentral:rRNA from 1 species
CCAAUGAAUAUUUCAAUGGCCGCGGUAUUUUGACCGUGCAAAGGUAGCAUAAUCAUUAGUUUUUUAAUUGAAAGCUGGAAUGAAAGGUUAGAUGAAAAAAUAGCUGUCUCUAUUUAAAUUUUUUAGAAAUUUAUUUUUAAGUUAAAAAGCUUAAAUUUAAUUAGAAGACGAGAAGACCCUAUAGAGUUUUAUUAAUUUUUGUAAUAAUAUUUUUAGUAUUUAAUAUUUUUUUUAUAAAAAUUAAUUUAAUUGGGGUGAUUAAAAAAUUUAUUAAACUUUUUUUAUAUAAAUACAUUCAUUUAUGGAUAAAUGAUCCUUUAAUUAAGAUUAAAAGAUAAAAUUACCUUAGGGAUAACAGCGUAAUUUUUUUAGAGAGUUCAAAUCGAAAAAAAAGAUUGCGACCUCGAUGUUGGAUUAAAAUAAAAUCUUGGUGUAGAAGCUAGGAUAUUUAGGUCUGUUCGACCUUUAAAAUUUUACAUGAUCUGAGUUUAAACCGGUGUGAGCCAGGUUGGUUUCUAUCUCUAUUUAUCUUAGAAUAUUUUAGUACGAAAGGACCAAAUAUUUGAUUUAGAAUUUAUAUUUAAGAAUAAAAUU